GGUUAAGGGGAUCUGUUAGAGCAAUCGAAGCAGUGAACUUAAGCCCCAGUAAACGGCGGCCGUAACUAUAACGGUCCUAAGGUAGCGAAAUUCCUUGUCGGGUAAGUUCCGACCCGCACGAAAGGCGUAACGAUUUGGGCACUGUCUCAACAACAGACUCGGUGAAAUUGUAAUUCCGGUGAAGAUGCCGGAUACCUGCGACAGGACGGAAAGACCCCAUGGAGCUUUACUGUAGCUUGACAUUGGGUCUUGGUACUACAUGUACAGGAUAGGUGGGAGGCUUUGAAACCAGGACGCCAGUUUUGGCGGAGCCAUCCUUGGGAUACCACCCUUGUAGUACUGGGACUCUAACCAUAGGCCAUGAAUCUGGUCUUGGGACACUGUCAGGUGGGCAGUUUGACUGGGGCGGUCGCCUCCCAAAAGGUAACGGAGGCGCUCAAAGGUUCUCUCAGUACGGUCGGAAAUCGUACGUAGAGUGUAAAGG
rnacentral:rRNA from 1 species